UGACAGUAUAAAUAUGCAAUGAGUGUUAAUUAUUCAAUGCAUUACCGCAAGGCACUCAAGCACUAUGAUGAUAAGUAUAGUGUAAGAGUACAUAUGAAAAAUAGUAUAGCAACUCACAUUGCAAAGAGUCUGACAAAGCUGAAAUAAAUCGAAAUCUGAAGGAGCGUGCAAACACUGAUAUCUUUACUAGAAAAAUGUUAUUUGACUGAUCUGGAAAAACUAAGAAUGAGAAGACGUCAAGAGGUUGAGACUCCAGCAGAUACGAAAGAUUCUGAAAAUCAAAACCAAACAUAAAACACUUCAGCUGCAAAGGGAAAUGUUUCAGAAAGUUGUGAGAACACGGGGCUAUCCUGGAAGUUGUUCAGUGACCUUCACAACGGCGGAAACAAGUAACAGCUGCUGCAAUUAAGGAGUCCAGUGGAAGCAAAAUGACAAAAAUCAAACUGUGUAUCCUUCUUGAUCUCUGUACAGUUCUGAUACAGAGAUAAUAAGCAUGCAGAAUAAAUUUUAUCACUGUGAUGUAGAUUUUCAGGAAGAAACUCUCAUCAUGCAAGAUAAUUAAUGCUUUGGAUCACAUUGCCACCAUCAGUUCUUAAGAUAAUUAUUUGGCCCAUUAUCUAGUGUGUGAUGCAGUAUACUAACUUCCAUGAAAAUGAAUUUGUACAUUUAC
ensembl:lncRNA